rnacentral:rRNA from 1 species
UACGUAGGGCGCAAGCGUUGUCCGGAAUUAUUGGGCGUAAAGAGCUCGUAGGCGGCUUGUCACGUCGAUUGUGAAAGCCCGAGGCUUAACCUCGGGUCUGCAGUCGAUACGGGCUAGCUAGAGUGUGGUAGGGGAGAUCGGAAUUCCUGGUGUAGUGGUGAAAUGCGUAGAGAUCGGCAGGAACACCCAAGGGGAAGCCAGCUGGCUGGGCAUUUGCUGACGCUCAUGUGCGACAGCGUGGGGAGCGAACUGG